AUUGAACGCUGGCGGCAGGCUUAACACAUGCAAGUCGAGCGAGCGGCGGACGGGUGAGUAAUGUCUGGGAAACUGCCUGAUGGAGGGGGAUAACUACUGGAAACGGUAGCUAAUACCGCAUACCAUCAGAUGUGCCCAGAUUGGAUUAGCUCGUAGGUGGGGUAAUGGCUCACCUCGGCGACGAUCCCUAUCUGGUCUGAGAGGAUGACAAGCCACACUGGAACUGAGACAAGGUCCAGACGCCUACGGUAGGCAGCAGUGGGGAAUAGUGCACAAUGGGCGAAAGCCUGAGGCAGCCAUGCCGCGUGUGUGAAGAAGGCCUUAGGGUUGUAAAGCACUGUCAGCGAGGAGGCGUUACUCGCAGAAGAAGCACCGGCUAACUCCGUGCCAGCAGCCGCGGUAAUAC
rnacentral:rRNA from 1 species